UACGGAGGGGGCUAGCGCUGUUCGGAAUUACUGGGCGUAAAGCGCACGUAGGCGGCUUUGUAAGUUAGAGGUGAAAGCCCGGGGCUCAACUCCGGAAUUGCCUUUAAGACUGCAUCGCUAGAAUUGUGGAGAGGUAAGUGGAAUUCCGAGUGUAGAGGUGAAAUUCGUAGAUAUUCGCAGGAACACCAGUGGCGAAGGCGACUUGCUGGAUCUUUGCUGACGCUGAGACGCGAAAGCGUGGGGAGCAAACAGG
rnacentral:rRNA from 1 species